rnacentral:tRNA from 8 species
GCACCUAUAGCUCAGCUGGAUAGAGCGCUGCCCUCCGAAGGCAGAGGUCACAGGUUCGAAUCCUGUUAGGUGCGCCA